CUUGCUUACAAAUCUCUACACAAUGCUGCUCCCACCUACUUAUCUUCACUAAUACACAAACAUGUCCCAUCUAGGCCCCUACGCUCUGCCGGAGACCUACAUCCAACCUCUGUUUGUACUCCUACCUCUGAUGCUCACCUUAAAGACUUCUCUAGGGCUGCACCGUUCCUAUGGAAUGCCCUUCCCCUCUCUGUUAGACUCUCACCCAUUCUCCACUCCUUCAAAA